rnacentral:lncRNA from 10 species
UGAAUGGUGGGGAGGGGUUUUUGCUUGGGGGAAAAUGGAGUUCGCAAUGGACAAACUAGAAGUUAUCUCCUGUAUCCUAUGAAUCUCUCAUGAGCCAUUGUCUUCUGAUGAAUUAAGGAAUAAUUAAUUUCUAAAAAUCAUGUCUUAGAAGCCAUCACUCCAAGGACACUAUCAAUAUCUAUCUAUCUAUCACGCUGUACUUCUCAUUUAGUCUCUUUAAAUAUUUAAACUUUAAUUCAAGGAAUUAAUGAAGUAACUAUAUCAAGCACUUUCAUUUGAAAAGGUGAAUUCACUCAUUUUAAUGACAUUGUGAAAAAUCUAUUCAUAUCCUUCAUCUGAACAAGAUGUUAGAAAUGUGUUAUUGAUAUUUUGGAUCUCUGAGAUAAACAGUACCACAGACACUAAAAGAAACCAUAAUUAGCAACUGAUCCAAGGAAAAUAUAAAAUGACAAAAUUCUAAAAUGUUAUAUCUAAACCACAGCAGACAUAAUAACCACAACAAUGCAGAAGUUCUACGAAUAUCUAUUGAACUUUAUUAAAAAUAUAACUAAUUUUCCCUACUGACAGAUGUUGUAGAACUACAUUUGAAAAUACCAAGCGGUAAAAGUAAUUUCUUACGCCCAGGAGGACACUUCAGGUUAAGCACAAUGCUAGUAAAAGCACAGCUGUGAAAUCUUAGGAGAGAUUUUUCCUAUAUGCUUUAUAAAAUCUGAUUCUCUAUGUUUCUUUUAGCCUUGUUAUCCAAAUGCAGAAAUGGCAGCUGAAGAGAUGAUUUGUGACAGCAUUUGCUGAGACGAAGUCUGUCCACUAGAUGGAUAAAAUCAGUUCCCUUUUCAUAGCUUGAUCAUCUACAUCUGCUAGUGACCCAGUCCCUGAGAGUCACCAAGAAUUGAUUCCACUGAGGCGAUGGCAGGCGGGGCUUUGGUGUUGGAAAAGUCAGUGGUUGAUAUGGACAGCACAGACUCACAUAAGCUGCUGGUUUAUUACACUAGAAAAAUAAGGUGAGUGACACUGUGGCUGUUAUCUUUUGUGCUGAUCAAAACUUUCUGGUAUACUCCAUGUAAUUUUGAGACCUGUUUCAUAAAAUGUUCAUGUUCAGAAAUUAAAGCCAUCAGGGUUUUGGCUGUUUGGAACAGUUCAGCCAAUUUAUGAAGACUCCAACCUGCUGGCUCUUUCUGUCCCUUGCUGUUUUCUUUUUAUCUCUAUACAGUUUUGUUGCUCCCUUUACUUAUUGAUUCAUCAGCCUUCCUCUGUAAAGCCCUCCUAAUUCAGCAAGGCCUUCAUUAGGGCUGUCCAUGAAGAGAUGGUCACCCACUUGUCUGGCCACCCGAAUGUGUAUUCACCAAUUCACUCCUAAUUAGAAACCCAAAAAUCAUUUACGUAUUUUCUCGUAAGAUUUGGCAAAAUGUUCUAGAAACAGUUGCAUGGCUACAAGUCAUAAACGCCUACCUGUUAAAUCUUCAUCAAAAUAUCUUUAUUCACUUUGCUCAACCCCUCUGUAGUAACUGGGGUCCUUGUUGCCAUGAUUUUGUGACAAUGGCUCUUGAUUUUGGUGACAGAUGAUGCUAGGUUUAUUAUGGCCAUAGUAAAGACCAAAUUCAAAACACUCUUUUCUUUUUUUCCUUUUUUUUUUUCUAUACUAGAAUAUCAUUGUUUUGGCUGCACACAAGAUGAAGUAAGUGGCUUUCAUUUAGAGGCCAUGUUUUACCAAAAAAUAUGUUUCUUAAAAUACUAGAUUCCCCUCAGCAUAAUGAGAUACUCACUUUUGGGGAGGGUGUCAGAAAUUGCUGGAGCAACAGAUUAAUGAUCCCCAUUUCAGUUUCACAUCAGGCAUGGGCUCAUUGAACACAAUGGCUGGUGGGUGAAGUCACCCAUACUGUUAAAUUAUCCUCUCUCUCUGACUGAACACAUAUGCUUAAAUUAGGAUAAAAGUUAGGACUAUUCUCAAUUGUCUUUUAAAGCUUGAGAGGGGAGUGGGCUCUCACUAUGAAGAAAAAUAUAUUUCUUAAGACGGAUGAUCUUUUUAAAUGCUUAAACACCAAGUAUAUAUAUUUUCGAACAUAGCAAAUUGCAAUUAAUUAAUGAAUCCACUGAAUUUUACCUUCUAGUUGAAUUUGCAAGGUCAUAUGAGUAAACACUGAUGUGAAUUUUAAGUCUUGGUGACAUGUAACAGGAAAGACAAGGUCUAAAUUUUAAGAAAAGACUGAAAAGCCACUUACUUCUUGCAAAUGGAAGAAAACUCUGUGCUAUUUGAAUUAUUGUUUAAGAAAAUCCUAUGCAGUUUAAGAAAAACAGGAUAAGAACUAACACAAAAUGCUGCUUUUCUUUAGACAGAUCAUUAAGUCUCUCCACCUAAACUCUUGAAAAAUCUGUAACGAUUUUGUCUGCUUGUCAAAUUGCUCCUCCAGUAAUUUCACAGUUACAACCCACGCACAUAUCGACAGAGCAUUUCGAUUCAAAUGUAACUUUCUAACAACAAACUUAUAUAGAAAAGGUGUCAUAGGCGUAAUUGAGAGGAACAGAAGAUCAAGAGUGAAGAAAAUUACAUCUUCUUUUCUCAAUUAAGAAAAAAACCUAAAUCAUAAAUAUUGUAUUCAUAUACAUUUACAAACUGAUAGACCACUAAACGUUUUUUCUGAUUUAAAACUGCUUUCCACCACUGCUGCUGGUGCAUAUAUUAAUGAGGAAAAACCCACUGUGACAGAAAUCUUCCCCUCACGGCAUAGCCACCUCCACCCCCAUAAAAGAAAGCUUUUCAGUGUUACCUGAGAAAAAAACAUCACAACUAAUUACAUCAUUUUUCUUGGUUCCCGCAUCUACCAAGGCUUGCUCAGACACAUUCAACCUGUUACCACAAUCCAUGAUUUAACUCAAGGUUUUAUUUAGUGUAAUGAAUAUCAUUCCUCUAUUUAAAAUGCUGUUUAUCUUUCCUUAAGCAAAUUGAUCGGCCAAUAAGUAUCAUUAUUAGGUAUUACAAAAAAGAUGUUGUCAUAAGGUAAUUUAUUCUAAGUUAAAAUAGUCCACUGAGAUGUCUUGUAAGAACAGAAAUUACCAUUAAAAUGUCCCAUUUACAAUCACUGAUGAAAACUUGGGCUAUUUGUGCAUAUAAUAAAGGGAGCUGAGGUUUUUUAAUUUAAAAAUAGAUCACAUGCUAUUAAUGUAGAUUUUUGUGUUUCUAUUACAGAUUAUCAUGAAUAAGGGUACUAAGGACUAAAAUUGGGAAAUCAACUUAUCUAUUAUCUCUUGCUUAUAUAAAACCUUCAUGUAUUUAAUAUCGAUGGUCCUUUAUUACGUGUGUGUGUGUGUGUGUAUGCACCAUAUAUGCCUCAAAGUAUGUGUGUGUACAUUAAGAGAAGAAACCCAGCAUAGCUAAAUGGCUAAAAAUAUGGUAACUAUACUGUGCUUCCACCCUAUAUAUUUUAUCACAUAAAAUACAGUUUUUUACGAUAAGUGCCUUUAUAUACAUUUGAAAUUAACUUUGACAGCUGAAUCUUUUUCAACACUACUCUUGAAUAUUACCUUUAUGUAGUAUUACCUGUGUUACUGCUUCAGUACUAAGAAAAUGAGACCAUUUUCUCUGACAUUACAUAAGCCCGACAGCAGACGAGAGAAACGCUGCCUAUCUGGGGUGAAAGCUAGCUCCCUCUGAAGCUACCAUUUGACACGUUAAAACAAUUCUCGAGUUGAUUGAAUCAUUCCAAAUUACCAAUAUUUGACCAUUUCAACCUUCAAAAAUGGAAAUUUCACUUUAACUCAUACAGCCAGAUAUACCUAGACAAGCUUUAAAAACACAUAAAAAAAUUUCCUUUAACAUUAUUACUCAGAAGUUGAUUACAGUCAACUAUAUAGAAAGGAAAAUCUUAACGCUUCCAUACACCCUGAAAAUUUAUGAACUUUUGCUCCAUCUGCUUAAACCUAUAUUGCAUCCUCGUUUUUAGUUUUUAUUUUUUAAAGAUUGUUUUAAAAAGGUGCACCAAUCAAAAGAUAAUUAAUGGUCUUGGUCUUUGUUCUAUCAGAUGUCCAUGCAAAGAUAUGGAUAAUGGUUCCAUCACCAAAUUUUUAACUAACUCCAAAUAUUGUAUUUGUGGCUCACACUAGGGAUCCCUUGACCCAGCUCGGCAAGUGUGAAAUCACGAAAUAAAUGAAGGUUAACAAAGACUGGUCUAAGGAAUAGUUCACUACAAUACCGCAAUGCUCUUCUCACUAAUACUCGACUCUGCAUUUCGGUACUUAUAUCUGAAAGAUUUGCAAAUAAUGACAACAUUCGUGCCAGACAUUACUGCAAGUGAGGAACAGACUAAAGGAGAGGAAGGAACAAAAUGCCUUCCAAGAGAGAAACAUUCAUUAGCCUUACUGGCAAGUGUCUAAAGCAAACAAGGAAACUGCAAAAUAAUUACUUAGUUACAAAUAAACGCUUUUAGCACAGUACCUUUUUGUGUCUGUCCCUCUUCCAUAUUCUCUUCCAUGGCUACCUUUCUUCAGUAGAAUCUGGUACACGGAAU